rnacentral:rRNA from 1 species
CGGACGGGUGAGUAACGCGUGGGUAACCUACCCUGUACACACGGAUAACAUACCGAAAGGUAUGCUAAUACGGGAUAAUAUAUUUGAGAGGCAUCUCUUGAAUAUCAAAGGUGAGCCAGUACAGGAUGGACCCGCGUCUGAUUAGCUAGUUGGUAAGGUAACGGCUUGCCAAGGCGACGAUCAGUAGCCGACCUGAGAGGGUGAACGGCCACAUUGGGACUGAGACACGGCCCAG